UGGCAAUUUUUUCCGACGGGAUAGUUUCCGCGGGAAUUUACCCAUCGGGGGAUGGGGAUGGGGAUAUUUUUUCACCCGUGGAGGACGGGCACGGGGACUCGCAAAACAAAUGGGGCGGGAGCAGGGAGUGAGGUCCCACCCCGUAGAGAUCCGUUUAAUACCCGCAUAUAUAUAUAUAUUACUUAUGAAACCCUAAUUUCUUAUCCUCUUCUCUCUGUCGCCUUUCACUUUCCUUCCCUUAAAACUCUGAUUCUCUCCUUCUCCGUCUCCUUCCCUCCUCCACUCUUGCCGUCGUCUGCCGCCCGCGUCUCCUCAGGUCACUGUCUCACUGCAGAAGGAAGAACUGUUAUUGCUUCCUCGAUGGGGUGCCCCUCAUUCUCUUAGAUUCUCUUUCUUUCCUUCUCUCCAUGACACUCCUCCACUUAGACCUCUCACCGCCAUCUGCUACCUUCAUCUGCUCUCACUCGCGCGCCUGACACCCCGCUCUAGGAGAACUGAUGUCGCUGGAUGCAGAAUCAUCACGAGGAGCUUGAAGCGUCACCAUCUUUGGCAAAGGCUGUCCGGUCUCCGUCGCUGCCUCCAGCAAGAUCGUUGGCUGCAUUUCUUUCCGGUUGAAGUGGGUUUGCAGAAGAUCUGUAAGUUUUAGAUGGUUGAUGGCUAGUUUGUGCAAGGCAAUGGUAACAGUUUUAGAUUUUUUUUUCAUCUCAAUUAGGUAGGUCGGAUAUAAAUUGGUGUUUGAUGUAGUUGAUUGUUUAGUUUAAUAUGUGGUUAAACUUGACUGGAGUGGAUUUGGUAUGUGGUUGAAUUUGACUGGAGUGGAUUUUAAAUUGGAUGAAUGGAUAUGAAAGUGUUUAUGGUUUCAAUU